CCUACGGGAGGCAGCAGUGAGGAAUAUUGGUCAAUGGCCGUAAUACUGAACCAGCCAAGUCGCGUGCGGGAUGACGGUCCUAUGGGUUGUAAACCGCUUUUAUCCGGGGACAAAAUGCGCCACGUGUGGCGUUUUGCAGGUACCGCAUGAAUAAGGAUCGGCUAAUUCCGUGCCAGCAGCCGCGGUAAUACGGAGGGUGCGGGCGUUAUCCGGAUUUAUUGGGUUUAAAGGGAGCGCAGGCGGAAUGUAAAGGUAGCGGGAAAAUGCCGGGGCUAAACCCGGUCAUGCCGCUGAGACUGGGGUGCUUGAGUGAGCGAGACGUAUGCGGAAUUCGUGGUGUAGCGGUGAAAUGCAUAGAUAUCACGAAGAACUCCGAUUGCGAAGGCAGCAUACGGGAGCUCUACUGACGCUGAAGCACGAAGGCGCGGGUAUCGAACAGGAUUAGAUACCCGAGUAGUC
rnacentral:rRNA from 1 species